GCCGUAUUGAAAAUUCCUUCAAGUGCCUGGAGCAGAUUAAUUAGUGAAAAAUCAGUAGAAGAGUCGCAAGGUUUGAUUCACAGUCUCUGGAUAUAAAAAACUAAUCACCAAAUAAUAUACUCAAUACCCUCCAGACUGAAGGGAGUGGUCUAACCGGGGGAAUAUGAACAAUAACCAUGUUGUUGCCUAUUAAUCGAUGCAGCUCAAAGCACAUUCACUCGGUCAUCAGCAUACACAAUGUGUCUUCAGGUGCUAUGAAUGUGUAACCAUAUUGCCAACUAACUGACGCAUCUCAAAAAUCUUUGACUCGGUCAUUGGCAACUCCAAGGUCAUCUCGUUGAAUAUUUUACUGUAAGAGGUCUCCUUGAAACCCAAUUUUUGGAAUAGACUGAGAGAGACGUGAUUUAAUUCUCCAAUUU
rnacentral:misc_RNA from 1 species